rnacentral:rRNA from 1 species
UACGGAAGGGGCAAGCGUUGUUCGGAAUCAUUGGGCGUAAAGGGCGCGUAGGUGGUUCUGUAUGUCUACCGUGAAAGCGUACGGCUCAACCGUAUUUUGUCGGUAGAAACUGCAGGACUUGAGGCUGGGAGGGGCUGGUGGAAUUCCCUGCGUAGCGGUGAAAUGCGUAGAGAUGGGGGAGAACACUCGUGGCGAAGGCGGCCAGCUAGACCAGUUCUGACACUGAGGCGCGACAGCGUGGGGAGCAAACAGG